CGGAAACCCAGCAGAGUAGGGUGGCAAUGUUGUAUAAGUGGACGCACAGCACCUAUGAAAGACUUAGGCAAAAUGGAGUAAUUUGUUGCUAUUUAUAGUGUGUGUGUGUGUGUGUGUGUGUGUGUGUGGUGCUAUCUGU